ensembl:snRNA U4 U4 spliceosomal RNA
AGCUUUGCGCAGGUGGUUGUAUUGUAGCCAUUGAGGUUUAUCUGAGGCAUGAUUAUUGCUAAAUGAAAACUUCUCCCAAUACAGUGUUUUCCAAAUUUCUGCUAUUCAGCAAAGUGA